rnacentral:rRNA from 1 species
UACGGAGGGUGCAAGCGUUGUUCGGAAUUACUGGGCGUAAAGGGCGCGUAGGUGGUUAUGCAAGUCAGAUGUGAAAUCCUUCGGCUCAACUGAAGAACUGCAUCUGAAACUGCAUAACUAGAGUACAGGAGAGGGAAACGGAAUUCCAGGUGUAGAGGUGAAAUUCGUAGAUAUCGGGAGGAACACCUGUGGCGAAGGCGGUUUCCUGGCCUGAUACUGACACUGAGGCGCGAAAGCGUGGGGAGCAAACAGG